AACAAGAACUUCAAGGAAUUUCUAGUCCUCCAAAUGAGUUACACUAUAUUGGGACAGCAAUGAGAUAAGAGCUGGGAUGAAAAGAAUUUGACAGAGCAAGAGUAGAUGCAUGAUAGAAUAGGUUACAAGGAAGAAAAGAUCCGUGUUCAAUGGUUAAGUCAAUGGGGGCAGGAAUUUGGUUUUUGUUGUUCAACACUACAUACCCAGUUUCAGGCCCAUAACAAGAGAAAUGAAUGAAUGGGAGAGUGAGUGAGGCUAUUUGAUCCUUUCUCUUUGUUUCUUUAAUCUAGUAUUUCCCAAUGUAUGGAAUGCUUCAACUAGUAAUCUGGGACAUCAUUUUAGGUGGUAAUGGUACAUUAAACACUCUAAAUCAGGUAGAGACAAAGUGUUUCCCCUUUUAAUUUCCUAGUAUCAAGGAGAAAAAUUUCAGUUUAGUACUAGUAGGCCUUUAACAUCUUUCUAUUCUUGUUUAAACAGGAGACAUGUUCUCAGGGACUGAGCUCCAGGUAACUUUAUUUAGUUAAAACUAUAUACAGUCAUUUGUCACUUAACAAUAAGGAUACAUUCUGAGAAAUGCAUUGUGGGUGAUUUUGUUGUUUUAUGAACAUCAUGGAAUGUACUUACACAAAUUGAGAUGGAAUAGCCUACUAUACGCCUAGGCUGGAUGGUAUAGCCUGUUGCUCUGAGGCUACCAACCUACACAGUCUCCACUGCUACGACAACAAUAAAGAUCUAAAGCAGCUGUUCAGCUUUGGGUGGACCACACAGAGCCAUCCCCAGGAGACACAGCAACCUGAGACAACAGUCAGUCAAACAAAUGUAAACAUAAUCUUCAGUGUCCUGGAGUAGAAGAGUCAAGAUUUACAUAAAUCCCUAGAUUCGAAUUUUUAUCCUUCCUCACCUAUAUAGUUCAGAUACCAGUACAAGUUGGGUGACUUCUGGCUCUCAUCCUCCAAGAAGAGGGAAAGACUGAGGAAACGAGAACCAACGCAGUUAUUGCUGAACCCAGGAUAAUCAGAACUGCUGGAGUCAUCCUGUGACCAUAGAGGGAGAUUUCACUGAAUCCUGAUGAUGGCAGAAGAGAAUUAUGAAGAGUGCCUCCGUCCUUGAAGACUCUGUUGAGCAGCCAAACUGACCCUGGA